rnacentral:rRNA from 1 species
GACGAACGCUGGCGGCGCGCCUAACACAUGCAAGUCGAACGAGCGAGAGAGAGCUUGCUUUCUCGAGCGAGUGGCGAACGGGUGAGUAACGCGUGAGGAACCUGCCUCAAAGAGGGGGACAACAGUUGGAAACGACUGCUAAUACCGCAUAAGCCCACGGGUCGGCAUCGACCAGAGGGAAAAGGAGCAAUCCGCUUUGAGAUGGCCUCGCGUCCGAUUAGCUAGUUGGUGAGGUAACGGCCCACCAAGGCAACGAUCGGUAGCCGGACUGAGAGGUUGAACGGCCACAUCGGGACUGAGACACGGCCCAGACUCCUACGGGAGGCAGCAGUGGGGAAUAUUGCACAAUGGGGGAAACCCUGAUGCAGCGACGCCGCGUGGAGGAAGAAGGUCUUCGGAUUGUAAACUCCUGUUGUUGGGGAAGAUAAUGACGGUACCCAACAAGGAAGUGACGGCUAACUACGUG